GCGCUCGUGGCCCAAUGGAUAAGGCGUCUGACUUCUAAUCAGACGAUUGUGGGUUCGAUCCCCACCGAGCGUG
rfam:Capsella rubella cultivar Monte Gargano unplaced genomic scaffold scaffold_7, whole genome shotgun sequence.